rnacentral:rRNA from 1 species
GAUGACCUCUAGCUACAGGCUUAACACAUGCAAGUCGAGGGGAAACGACAUCGAAAGCUUGCUUUUGAUGGGCGUCGACCGGCGCACGGGUGAGUAACGCGUAUCCAACCUGCCCACCCCUUGGGGAUAACCUUGCGAAAGUAAGACUAAUACCCAAUGAUAUCUCUAGAAGACAUCUGAAAGAGAUUAAAGAUUUAUCGGUGAUGGAUGGGGAUGCGUCUGAUUAGCUUGUUGGCGGGGUAACGGCCCACCAAGGCAACGAUCAGUAGGGGUUCUGAGAGGAAGGUCCCCCACAUUGGAACUGAGACACGGUCCAAACUCCUACGGGAGGCAGCAGUGAGGAAUAUUGGUCAAUGGACGAGAGUCUGAACCAGCCAAGUAGCGUGCAGGAAGACGGCCCUAUGGGUUGUAAACUGCUUUUAUAAGGGAAUAAAGUGAGUCUCGUGAGACUUUUUGCAUGUACCUUAUGAAUAAGGACCGGCUAAUUCCGUGCCAGCAGCCGCGGUAAUACGGAAGGUCCGGGCGUUAUCCGGAUUUAUUGGGUUUAAAGGGAGCGUAGGCCGGAGAUUAAGCGUGUUGUGAAAUGUAGAUGCUCAACAUCUGAACUGCAGCGCGAACUGGUUUCCUUGAGUACGCACAAAGUGGGCGGAAUUCGUGGUGUAGCGGUGAAAUGCUUAGAUAUCACGAAGAACUCCGAUUGCGAAGGCAGCUCACUGGAGCGCAACUGACGCUGAAGCUCGAAAGUGCGGGUAUCGAACAGGAUUAGAUACCCUGGUAGUCCGCACGGUAAACGAUAAAUGCCCGCUGUUGUCUGAAUAGGUCAGCGGCCAAGCGAAAGCAUAA